rnacentral:misc_RNA from 1 species
UCUCCGUUGGUGAACCAGCGGAGGGAUCAUUACCGAGUGCAAACUCAUAACCCUUUGUGAACCUAUAUCUGUUGCUUCGGCGGCUCGCUCUCGGGCGAGCCCGCCGGUAAUAUCAGUAUCUCUGAUUGAACCCGACGAUACUUCUGAGUGUUCUUAGCGAACAGUUAAAACUUUUAACAACGGAUCUCUUGGCUCUA